rnacentral:tRNA from 1 species
GGUCCCAUGGUGUAAUGGUUAACACUCUGGACUCUGACUCCAGUGAACCGAGUUGAAAUCUCGGUGGGGCCU